UCUUGAGCACAUGAAAAUAAAUUCUUUAUUUCAGACACUUUAGCUGCCCCUAUCCCAUUGCCUUCUGUGCCUCCUGUCACAGUCUGAACCCACCUCCUCUCCCUUGAGUCCCUUUGUAUUUUUCUCCUUAAUUUUUGGCACCUUUCAACUCUGUGAAACAACAUUUAAAGAUCAGCCUAAAAGAUAAAUUAUUAACUCAUUUUCAUCUUUCUCUGCAGCGUAAUUCCAUAGGCUUGCCACUGUAACAAACGUGGCAGGGAUGCAAAGAAUGGCAAUAAAUGCAUACAAAGUCUCCUAGCAUCUAGGAAACAGAGCAACAAUUCAGAGGAAGAGGACGGCUGCUCUAAAUUCUGCUGAACAUGUCUGCAAAAUAUUUCUAAGGUAGGUGCCUGUCUGUUUUCAAACCCAGCCUUCAUUUGUCUCUUUUUCUUCCCUGUUUUUCGACCCCAGGGUUAUAUCCCUCUUCACACACCUGGAAGAGAGUCCUCAGAAGUGAUGCUUUGCUUCAGGUUUCCUCUCCUGGGCAGCUCCUGGGGGCCAGGGUGCAGCUGGCCUCAGCUUGCACUCCCCCACUGCUCCUGGCUCCCAUUCCACCCUCCCUGAUGUUCCUGGCGAUGGAGCUGUGUUGGAAACAGCCUUCUGGGCACUGUGCUCUGGGCAGUGUGAGCUAGGAUACAAAGCACAGGUAAAUCAUGCGCUCUAUAAAAUGAAACAUUUCGCUCCAAGAGUGGAGGGACAUCAUCUCCAUUUUCUUGCCAGCCACAUCACAGCCUGUGCAAUACAUUUACUUUAUGACAUUUCAAACGGACAAGGAUCUGCCAUCACAGCUGCUUCAUCUAUAUGCAUUUUGUGUGUGUUCCAUACAUGCCUAGCAUGUCUGCAGGGCUCCCAAGAAAUCCUACAGGGCUCCCAUGCUGGAAUCAUCCCCCCUGUGAGAUGGUGGAGUUUUCUGGCACGAGGAUGCAGAUCACAUCCCUCCUGCAGGAAGGCAGAAGAGGAGCUGGUUGACACCUGGGACACAGAACUCUUCCUACAUUCCCAGAGUCAGCACUGGUGAAUCUGGUUGGGGGAAAUAACUGCAUUUCACUAUGCUAUGUAGCCAGCACAAAGGAAACAGGACAGACUUCCACCCAUGACUUAGAAAUUUUUAGUGUAGAAACAGGUUCCUUGAGAACUGAGUAAAGCAGUUUUUGCUAGUCCACAGCCUAAGAAAUCUUUCUUGCCCUUCCUAAUAUACCAAAAAAAGCUUAAAAAGAAACACUUUCUCAAACAGUUUAAUUCCUGCUAUACCUUUUAAAAAUAGAGCUUAAGACUAGACAAGAUGGACAAAAGUCUGUGUCUAUCUUCUAGAAUUUCCUUUUUCCGAAGCAGUGAUCAAAAAUUCAGUGCCUGUAACCUAUAAAUCUGAAGGAUUCCACAUAGGUCAGUCUAAGUUAGGUGUCUGCAGGAUUCUGAUGAUUACUUUCUCUGAAUGCCCCUUUUCUUCAGUGUUGCUCCCAAGGUACUGUGCACUGGUGUUGCAGUGCACUUGUAUUGCAGUUUAAUCUGAGCAGGUUCCAUAAGAGUGAGCGAUGACAGUGUUCACAGGUUCUUGUUCACCUUCCUGCCCGUUCCUGACAAUGUCUCCUUAAGAAACCUGAGCUCAAACCACUAGUGGAAGGUGCUGGAAUAAUAGUAAUAAUAGUAAUAGUAAU
ensembl:lncRNA